CUGAAAUUGGGGCUCUGUUUGCCGGAUGUUUGCACAACAAACAAUUUAACAAAGAUUUAAAAAAAAUAUUUUUGAAAAACAGAGCGUUUUGGUUGUGGGCUAUUUUUAUACAGAAUUAAUUGUACGCUUAUUAAUGUCAAGGAUCUCAAGGAUGUUGCUGGGUGGGAACUGGUCGAUGUCGACUCGACGAUGUAUCUUCUUAAAGUGCCCGGAGUAUAUAUUACACUGAUAAUUUAAUGUUCCAUACUAUUGUUGAUCCAAAUUUAUUAACAAGUAUUUUCAACCACGGUGGUAUAGCAGUUGAUACAUUUUUCUUUUUAAAUGUGUUCUUAGUUUUUAUGUUAUUUACAAUCAAGAGAAUAAAAACAAAAAUCAAAUUAAAGAACCAACACUACUGUCAUUUGGCUUAAUUUUUAAAUUGAUAAUCAUGAAAUUCAUUAGAUGUUUCUACACGUGCACUGCAUAAAAAAAAAUAAUAAGAAAAAAAGGCAAUGAAGUUAUUUAAGUUAUAUUCGAAUGCUGGUCUAAGAGGAUAAUUUUUUUGUGUGAUCGAUAAUUCGGAUUGAAUCAUUCGACAAUGAUAGCACAAGAUUUAUUUUAUUUUGUUUAUUGUAUUGACUGGCUACUAUUUUCUAAGUUGCUACGUGGGUAGAUAUUGUUAUUUACACAUGUAGGUAUUUAAUUAAACACAAUCUAAGUGAAGUUUCAUCAAAUUACCUUGAUACUAAUGUAUUCAUCUAAUGAAUUAGUAUGUGUAAAGAUAUCUUAUCUAUAAAAAUUCUAUUGAUCGAGGUAAUUUACCCGAAUCGAGUGUCCGAAAAAGCAACAAACCAAAUAAUUAUUUUUUAUAGUGUGAAUUUAAUUAAGAUAAAAAGUCCAUUUGUUUCAAAUGGGAAAACCCUUAUAAAACAAUUUGAAGUUUUUUUUCAAAUUUCAACAUUAUUAAGCCACUCCUGAUUACAACAUUCAUAUAGUGACUAGUGUAUACAAUCGACAAUGAUUAUUUUUAAAAAUGUAAUGAUAUCUCCGUUAAAAUAUCACAAUUGAGUAUCUUGUACCAGUGCAUACUCUUCGGCUGUUGGCUCUCCGUCUUCAGGUUUUUUGGUAUGUGCCGUGUACUUGGUAAACACGAAAUUCCGUAUGCAAGGAGUCAGCAGUUUAGGGUCGUAGUCUUGCUCGGUCGGGAAGAUUAGACUGACCGCCAGUCCUACAGCUAAGCCGAUCAACAUGCCCAAAGUACUAUAAUGAUUGUAACACAGCGUGUAGAUCUUUGGUACAUCCGGACUCACGUACACAUCAUCGUUCAUACGGUACAGCCUUUAGAGAAAUAAUGUAUUCAAAUGAAAUGAUUAUAGUCAAAAUAGUCCUCCCUAUUUACCUCUUCUACGUAGGUAUACCCUAAUACAAUCUCUAUAUUUUAUUUUUUAGUAUACCUCUUCCAUUAUUUGUUUAAAUAAAUACGCAACACUUCACUCUCGUGCUAUACAUGUCAAAAUCGCUAUAUCAACGAUAACUCCAUAAAGCCAACCCUUGGUAUGUUGCGCAGGUUUCUAAUAUUUAAAAGACCCGUGUAUUUUUCAAUAUAUUACCCUGUAUAAUCUGUACUGUUGUGAAUGGUAAUAUUAGCUGGGCAUCCGGAUACCGACACUGCUCUUGUAGUGAAUUGAAUAUUCUUGUUCGUUAUUGCAAUUUGAGCACCGUAAACAAUCCAAGACGUUACUGCUAAACUGGCUACCAUCCCACACAGCGCUCCCUAAAAUAUAUCAUUAUUAAUUUAAAAAAUAAUCGAACAUGUUAAAUUGAAUAAAAUUGUAUUUGAUUACAUAAGGAUAUAAAUAGUACUGAAAAAGUUAGAUGGAUCGUUAACGGUUAAGAACAUAAUUUUCACAUGAAGAGUAAUAGGAAAACUAGGAUGUUAUAUAAUUUCAGCUGAUUUUUUGUAUAACUUCCAAGGUUUUAAAAAAAAAUGUUGAAAAAAUUUACUUAUAUUGUUGUUUUUUUGUACUCUAUGCUUAGAUCACUCACUCUAGAAUUUGCCUUAGGAAAACAUAUUCCCAACGUGAAUACUGAUAAUAACGGUCCAUCCGUGACCCCGCACAAGCUGUUCGCCAUCUACGCGAAAAAACGAAGACUACUACGAUGGAUUUAUAAGCUUAUCGACUCACCUGAAGGAUGCCGCCAAGUUUUUCAACGACUGACACAAGAGCUACGCAUAUUAUCCCGACGAUAACCACGAUAACUUUCAUAAUAAUGCUGGCUGUCGACUGGGUAAUUUCAAAGCCCAUCAUUUUUACAAUAAAGUCUUCAUAAAUCGUUCCCGAGACGGUGUUGAGUUGUGCUGACAUUGUACUGUGUCAAGAAAAGACGUUAUGAAAACAAGCAGCUAAUGUAGACGGAGUGGGUACAGACCUUAGAGCCGCGCUGACUAUUCCAGAAAUGAAGAGACCAGUGAGUCCGGGAAUUUUAGACGCUACGUCCAUCACAAAAUAUGGUAGAAGAUUUUUAUUGUCUUUAAUGUACUGAAAGAAAAAUCAACAGAGAAAAGUUCAUCAAAAUAUUAAGUAAAAUUCGUUCUUACCGUAAUCGUAUCCUCGAUUUGGUGUUAAAUUAAGAGACUCACGCCGGCCGUGACGGGGUCGCAAUCUUUGUAUUUUGUGUAUAUCUGUAUUCCGAUUAAACCCGUCAAUAUUUUCACCACUCCCAAGCCAAGAAUGAAGUAUAUUAACGUCUUCCUGGCCUUGUUGUACGACGGUAACGCCACGAAUCUCUGGACUGAUCCGGGAUGUAUUGCCUGGCUGGUAAUCCAACUAAUCGAUAAACCGACGCUUAUGGUCCAAAAAGAAUUUCUCAAAAACGGAUCUGGGUCCAUCCUGUAUUAUUAAAUGUAUUUAUUUUAUUUGGAUUAUCAACAUUGACGCCAAUGAUCCAUUGUGUCGUACAACUUGAAACCAUAAACUAAUACCUACCGCAGUUCAUAGUUACAACAUACUUGAAUAGUUCUAAUCGGUUUCCUUCGAUAUUGGCCUUUAUCAUUUUGCUAAGACCACCGACUUGGAUGAAACCUAAAACAAUCACAAUGGCCAUCGAAACCGUCGUGAAAAAGCUUUGCAGUGCAUCUGUCCAUACCACAGCUUUUAGUCCUCCCUAGAAUUUUCAACUAUUGUAAUAAUUUUGUAUUCAGUAUUAGGCAGAUAAAAAUAUAUAUGCUACAUACAAUCGUUGUGUAGAAUAUGCACACAAUACAUAUGAUAGGAGUUAUAAAGUGUACGCCAAGACUGCUUACUGUAAUGUAAAUAAGCAAUUUAUAAUACCACAAUUUUUUUAUGCCAUAAGUACAAUCGAGUUAAAACUUCAAUGAAUGUAAAAUGGGAAGUUAACAAUUUAAAGUCUACAUUUACAUUUGCAUCUGUUUGCAUCUAUACGUUAUAUCAAAAAAGUCAUCAUUCUUAUAUUUAAGUCUUCGCUUAGAUCACAGUCUUCUCUCUUCUCACGCAUAUCAUCUUUCCUUAACGAUUCUUAUCCUUAUUGCUAUUUUCUUUGCUAUUUGUCCUAUUUGAUGUUACAUAUUCUGUUUCAACGUCCAGUUUUGUACGAUUAUUCAACGACUACCCCAUACCGAUUCAUUAUCGAUUCGUUACAUACCAUUCUUUCUUCCUCGAUUUCUUUAAACCUCUGAAAUUUCUAUUAUCUAUCACUUUGACGAAUUUUGGUUUCUUCCGGUUUUAAAAUUUACAUAAUAGGUAUAAAAUGUGUAUAUAGUUUUAGAAUAGGUAACACUAUCGACACUGUAGUUGGAUUAAAAAUUGAUGACAUAAUUAUUAUAAAAACCAAUCUUAAACAGAUACUAUAUAAAUAAUGUGAGAAUUAACAAGUCGAUGAUACUUUGAUUGAACGCCAGGGCUGGUACAUAAAUCACUAUCGGUAUGUACAAGAUCAACGAUAUGGCAUAUAUCAGCGAACAAAUUCUUCGGAUAGUGCUGUUGAACCUUAACUCCAAGUACUGCGGAAUUACAAACAUUGGCGUUUAAUUAUCACGUUUUUACCGUAUAAUAUUAUUCAGGUCACUCACUUCGUACACGGAUGUCAGCUGUAGAUCAUAAAAUACCGGCAAAUAUAUAUAGAUCACUAUGAUUAUGAUGAAAAUAUUGAUUACACCUAUAAUCAAGUACUGUGCACCGUAAACGUAAACUUCGGACGGGACGCCAAGUAAAGUGACGCCAGAAACGUGACUGUAAACACACAAAAUUCGAUAGGUCAAAAUUACAAUAUCGACCUGGCUUCAACAGUUAUCGUACAAAGGAGUGAAUUUUCAGAGCAAAAAUGCCCAAGUCGAUUAAUUUUUAAAAUUUUAUUUCCUUAUUAUAGAACACGAUUAUGACAUGUCAUAGUUAAAAUUACAUUGUACGAAACAAUAAGUAUUAGUUAAACAUGUGUAUCGACUAUGUAUUAAAACGUGAUUAGCUUUAGUGGUGUUGUAGAUUACACACUUGGAAAUUUUUUACAAUUGUGUUUGAAGUACACCA